rnacentral:rRNA from 1 species
GACGAACGCUGGCGGCGUGCUUAACACAUGCAAGUCGAACGGAAAGGCCCUGCUUGCAGGGUACUCGAGUGGCGAACGGGUGAGUAACACGUGGGUGAUCUGCCCUGCACUUCGGGAUAAGCCUGGGAAACUGGGUCUAAUACCGGAUAGGAGCCAUUUUUAGUGUGAUGGUUGGAAAGUUUUUUCGGUGUAGGAUGAGCUCGCGGCCUAUCAGCUUGUUGGUGGGGUAAUGGCCUACCAAGGCGGCGACGGGUAGCCGGCCUGAGAGGGUGGACGGCCACAUUGGGACUGAGAUACGGCCCAGACUCCUACGGGAGGCAGCAGUGGGAAAUAUUGCACAAUGGGCGCAAGCCUGAUGCAGCGACGCCGCGUGGGGGAUGACGGCCUUCGGGUUGUAAACUCCUUUCGCUAGGGACGAAGCUUUUUGUGACGGUACCUAGAUAAGAAGCACCGGCUAACUACGUG